CCUACGGGAGGCAGCAGUGGGGAAUUUUGGACAAUGGGCGCAAGCCUGAUCCAGCCAUGCCGCGUGCAGGAUGAAGGCCUUCGGGUUGUAAACUGCUUUUGUACGGAACGAAAAGACUCUGUUUAAUACAGGGGGUCCAUGACGGUACCGUAAGAAUAAGCACCGGCUAACUACGUGCCAGCAGCCGCGGUAAUACGUAGGGUGCGAGCGUUAAUCGGAAUUACUGGGCGUAAAGCGUGCGCAGGCGGUUAUAUAAGACAGAUGUGAAAUCCCCGGGCUCAACCUGGGAACUGCAUUUGUGACUGUAUAGCUAGAGUACGGCAGAGGGGGAUGGAAUUCCGCGUGUAGCAGUGAAAUGCGUAGAUAUGCGGAGGAACACCGAUGGCGAAGGCAAUCCCCUGGGCCUGUACUGACGCUCAUGCACGAAAGCGUGGGGAGCAAACAGGAUUAGAUACCCUGGUAGUCCACGCCCUAAACGAUGUCAACUGGUUGUUGGGU
rnacentral:rRNA from 1 species